UUGUUUGGUGCUGAUACAACAUUGACUUUUCCCAUAAUUUAGCUUAGAGUGUUUUACACUGGGGAGUUCCAAUGUGUUUAAAUUGUAAAACUUUUUCCGAGCAUUUUUGUAGCAGAACUCCAUGUUCUAAUAGCCCCGGCAAAGUUGUUUUUAAUACUUUUUCUCUACGAAUUUUCAUUAAAAUUUAAUUCCAUUUUAACUUUGUCAAUUUUCCCCAAAGAUAAAUUAAGACACACAGAGAGAUUGUCAUUUCCUGUUUGAAGUCUCAUUCCUGUGUACAAUGUCAGUCUUUUUUAUUUAGGCCUAUGCCAUUCCAUCAGGGUAAAUAACUUUCUAACUAGUCAUUUAAGAGCAACUCCCGGGAAACUGUGAUGCAAUCCCACAUAUCAGCCAGACUUCAAAAGCUGCCAGAUUAUUGUGAAAGGAGAAACACUGUUUUCGAAGGCUGCUGAUAAUGCCUAUUAGCCAGAAGAAAGAGCCUGAAUCAUUCAAAGGUUUUCCAUCUAGUAAAGAAGUGUGGUAAAAAUCUUGCCCAGAUCUGCAUGUGCUAAGCAUCUACGUAAGUUGGAGCAUCAUAUUAAUGACACCCAGUGAAGAAACGAAAGAAUGAAGUGUAAUUACUAUAUCAAAAAUCCACAGAAUGUGAAAGUAUAAAGGAAAACUCUCAGGGCUUCAUGGACAGUGACCUGCUGUGAGUUGGCUGACAGCUGAAAUGAUGAACAAUACUGUUUAGUUCUGCCCAUCGUGCCUGCCAGAGACUAAGAAUAACUUGACCACUGCUCAGCUAAAAACUUUGGAGUUAGACAUAUGGACAGCCCACCCCAAGGGAAGAAUCAGAGGAGAAGGGACACAAGACCCCAGAAACACACAAAGCACCUUAAUAUGCAUGCUGCAUCUCUCUAAAAUUGUGGAACCUGUUUACCUGCUCUGGAGAAUGGCUGCCUGUGGCAGACAUAGGAGUUGUCCUCAUGCUGUGCUUCCUAUCUUCCACAGUAAUUGACUUGUAGCUGCAAUACAGUUACCAACCAGGAAUACAAUUUCUCAGCCCCAUGUCUUGCACCUACAGCUAAGUGUGGCCAUGUGACCAGUUUUCACCAAUUAAGUGUGAAUAGCAACAAAGUGCACCACCUUCAAUUGGAGGCUUUGAAGAAGCAGGGCAGCCUUCCCUUGCUCUCUUUCCCCUUGUUCUGGUGGGAUACAGAUGACAAUAAGGCCCUGGGUUUUGAGGUAGCCACAAGAUGCAAAAUACCUCAGACCUGAGUCACCACAAGGAAGAGAGAAGCCCACUGACAUGGAAUACCCAGCCUAGUCUACAGAUGAAUAAGAAAUAAACUUCUAUUAUGUUCGAACAUUACAGAUUUUGUUCUGUUAUAGCAGUUUAUCUCACCCUGACUAAACUGUUGCCUAUCUUCCAAGAUAGGCCCUCCUUCCCUGAAAGUGACUUUUUCAUACAUGUAAUCUGUAUUUUAAUUCAUAUUCUCCAAAGCAUAUCCACAUCUAUUCAACUAUUUUCAUGUCUUCCAUCAAU
rnacentral:lncRNA from 1 species